GGCUCCAUGGCCCAAUGGCAAGGCGCUUGACUACGGAUCAAGAGAUUAUGGGUUCGAAUCCCAUUGGAGUCA